AUUGCCCUUACCAGUAUCGGAGAGUGUUUUUGGUUGCAUCGUGUUUAGCGUCAGAACACUACGUCAUUUUAUGACGUAGUUUUAGAUGGUUAGGAGAGUGAAAAUUUUUGGAAGAAGCAGACGACCGGAGACGAGAUAUAGAAAGGACAGGCGUGAAAGUGGUCUGACUGUACGUGUGGAUACAGGGACCGGUAGAAAGUAAAUUAGUGCCUUGCCGAGUGAAGGAAGUUACUCAUCGAGAGAAGUCACUUCAGCAGAUGAUAGCAGCAGCCGUGGGUAUUUUAUGGGUUUCACGGACUCGCUGUUGCUGUUUUUACUGCGGAGCCGCUGCUGCUAUAUGUUGGGACUGCAACUUCAGUAGAACUGCUACUGAAGGUUCCUCGCCGAAUCCGCUACUGGGAGCGGUGGACAUCGCCGAGCUGACGAGAAGUUCCAGAGAAGAACAACCCGAGCCGACGACAAUAGGCGGGCAGCAUCCCACCACAACUGGAGAGUGUUGAGCAAGUGGGCUCCUCUCUCGUACCUGUCAGCGACGACAACCCACUAACUGCGGGGAGGGCCGUCGCUGUUGUCUGCUGUAAACCUGUGCAGCGAGUGGAGGAAAGACACGGGGUGUAGUGUCGAGCACUCCGAAGAUUUGAUGCUGGUGUCGGCAGAACAUACAACGGAUCUUGAUCUUCAGCAUCUUUGAAAAUAAUCUUGGAAAUGACAGCGGUCAUCUUAAGGAUCUAUCUUUGAUCUCAUCUACUACGGCAUCUUGAUCUAUUGGCCUUCUAUACAGCUUAUCUUAUCAUCUUGAUCAUCCUUGGUUACCAGAUACAGCACCUUCGAUCCGGCCUUUCGCAUUGGCCUUCCUUGACUCAUCACGAAGACUACCUUCACCUUCUUCCUUUGGCCUCACCUGGACCUUUGGAGCUUUCCAGUCCUUUCGAUUAUCACCUUCAGCUUCACCUUCGUUUUUCAGCGACCUUUUGCUAAUCGUCUUGGAUCUUCAGAUUCACCCAGCCUGGUUACAGCUUGCUACAGCCAGCCGAUCCAGCUUCAUCCAGACACUUUCAGCUUACUGAUUCCACCUUCAUAAUCCGAAAACGCACCGAGCUUCAUUGCAGCUUUACGAUUUAGUGAUUUUGAGACUUAUGAGAUACUGUUACGAGAUAUACAGCACCUUUGAUCCGGCCUUUCGCAUUGAUCUUCCUGGACUCAUCACGAAGACUCCCUUUCCAUCCAAUGUGUUACAAAAUGGAUUAUAUAACUUGUUCAAAGCAUCAGGAACUGUGAUUCUGUCUUGGAUAUUGGUACCACAUACAGAUUUCUCUUUGCCAUAGUCGACGGCUUCAAGGCGCAGUCGGGUGAUGGAGAGUCUGGAAAUUUUACCACUUGGCUAGAGGUAUAAAGGGACAUCAUUUCAACCUAAAUCUGAGGGAAAAUUCACCUGUGAAGUUCGGCUGGCAAUAUUUAAUACAGAUGGUACAAAACUGUGGCUUCAAAAAUUUCAAGACGGAAGCAAGGUUACAUUGUGUGCUAGGGAUAUUGUGCCAGCACAGGAAGGGGACACAAAUAUUUAUAAACAAUACUACCGAUGCCAGCACAAUACAAGCCCGGUUUCUGCUACAGCCAACAGCCAUCUUGGUUCCAAGAAUUCAGAAUGUCCCGCUCUGCUAACAAUUGCUAUGAGGAGACAGCUUGGAAAACUCAGCAGGUACUACUCUUUAAGUGUAAAUGUUAUGAUGAUCAAAAGAAAGAUAAUGAAUAUGGGCAAAGCAUUAUGUUAGGUUCACACAUAUUUUGUCUGUUGAUAUUUAAAAACAUAGUAACUACAGUCUGUAUGUCAUUAAUUUUAAUAGUACAAAGCACUCCUCUUAAAUUAAGAAAUUUUUGUGCGUAUUGUUUUAGUGUAACCAAUACGUCAAUGGCUACGUAGGGUUGAGCUACGUUGUACAGGAAAACACAAGAUGGAUUUCUCUCGUUGGAGUUUCUUCAUUCAAUUCUCGGUUGCUGGCCUGCCUCCUCUCUGGCCCCCCACCGACUCGCUACUGUGAUGUGUUUGGGAAGGAAAAGCCCCGACUAAACAUCUACCGCUAACUAUAUACUAAGCAGACACGUGACUACUCGUCACCUAAUCUACCUGUGCCUAACGCUAUCGCUCUAGUACUAACGCUACUACUGCCUACUGCGCUAUUCCCGUACCUACUACAUCUGCCACCCCCGGCUCUAGUUCUCGAUCCCCUCCUAAGUCACGGCGCCCUGUCAAGUCGUAAAAACGGACAGAAAAGGUUUCCCCCACUGUCCGCUGUUACUGAGCACCGCCUACCUAUAAUUACCUGGCCUCGAAUUAGGCUAAUUCGUGACGCGUCUCCUGACACGUCGGCCCUCUACAUCCCCGCCGACUCUUUCUCCAAUAUCGAAUUUCUAAGCAACGCCACCCAAGUUCUCAGGCGGGUGUAACAAUAAGACCAGUGGCUGGGGUCGAGUCAGUUCAGCGUCACUCGACGCGAACCUUACACUAAACAAUUUCAUCGUACACUUCUAGAGUGCUACAUUAGUAUAGUAUUUUAGUGGAUUUAAAAAAAAAUGGAACGCUUCUUUUGUUCAACACUUACAUAGCAUCUGCAGCUAGCUUGUCAAUAGAAUUAGAUGUUCAUAGCAUUUUACAAAUGACAUUGUUAUGUUCAUUUUCUACAACCUACAAAUCAAGACAAAAGUCAGUUCAAAUUUGUUUUGACAAAUGAUCAAAGAGGCCAUCAAGAGGCCAAAUGUAACAGCAACUUGCUGGAGCAACCUCUCUCGCUUGUCGAUUCCUCACCAUUGGCUCAUUUUGUACGCUCUCUCUCUGUUAGCGAUUACUUCCCCUACUUUCAUUUUCUAAAACCUAAAAAUCAAGAGAAAAGUCAGUUCAAAUUUGUUUUGACAAAUGAUCAAAGAGGCCAUCAAAGAGUGGCUCAGCUACAAUCGCUCAUCUCCAAUCAAAGUUUUGAUUUUAAUCGACAUUUUUAAUCGACAUACAAAGUAUUUCAAUAAUGCAUACACACAAUACCAUAUUUCAAAUACCAAAAGGGAUAAUAAAGAACUAGAAAUUUUUUUUUUAAAAAACAGGCGCAUUGAACGCGCCUAAUGUAGCAGCAACAUGGGGAAUUACCUCUCUCUGUUGGCGAUUCCUACCACUCCUUUAAUUUUCUACAACCUACAAAUCAAGAGAAAAGUCAGUUCCAAUUUGUUUUGACAAAUGAUCGAAAAGGCCAUCAAAUUGUGGCUCAGUUACAAUGGCUCACCUACAAUGAAAGUUUUGAUUUUAAUCGACAUUUUCAUUAAAAUCAUAAAAGUAUUUCAAAAAUGCAUACACACAAUACCAUAUGUCAUAUACCAAAAUGGAUAAUAAACAACUAGAGAAAAAAUAAAAAUAACAUGCGCAUUGAACGCGCCAAUUGUAACAGCAAAAUGAGGGAAUUACCUCUCUCGCUUUUCGAUUCCUCACCCUUGGUUCAUUUUGUACAAUGAAAGUUUUGAUUUUAAUCGAUAUUUUGAUUAAAAACAUAUAAGUAUUUCAAAAAUGCAUACACACAAUACCAUAUGUCAAAUACCAAAAUUGGAUAAAAACAACUAAAACAAAAAUAAAAAUACCACGCGCAUUGAGCGUGCCAAAUGUAACAGCAACAAGCGGGAAUUAACUCUCUCACUAGUCGAUUCCUCACCCAUGGCUCACUUUGUACAACCUAUAAAUCAUGGGAAAAGUCAGUUCUAAUUUGUUUUGACAAAUGAUCAAAGAGGCCAUCAAAGAGUGGCUCAUCUUUGCACGAAAGAGAUGUGGGGUAGAACGGAGAUUUUUCUCUUUUUUUGAGUAUCAUUGAUUCUUCUUUAUAAUUAAUGGUCACCAUUUGUUGUACGUGUAAGGAUUAGACACCAUCUCUGAUGAAUAAAAGCAUAAAAGUAUUUCAAAAUGCAUACACACAAUACCAUAUGUCAAAUACCAAAAUGGAUAAUAAACAACUAAAACAAAAAUAAAAAUCACAUGCGCAUUGAACGCGCCAAUUGUAACAGCAAAAUGAGGGAAUUACCUCUCUCGCUUGUCGAUACCUCACCCUUUGGUCCUUUUGUACAACCUGCAAAUCAAGAGAAAAGUCAGGUCAAAUUUGUUUUGACAAAUGAUCAAAGAGUUGCUCAGCUACAAUAGCUCACCUACAAUGAAAGUUUUCAUUUUAAUCGACAUUUUCAUUAAAAACAUAAAAGUAUUUCAAAAAUGCAUACACACAAUACCGUAUGUCAAAUACCAAAAUGGAUAAUAAACAACUAAAACAAAAAUAAAAAUCACAUGCGCAUUGAACGUGCCAAUUGUAACAGCAACAUGCGGGAAUUAACUCUCUCACUAGUCAAUUCCUCACCAAUGGCUCACUUUGUACAACCUAUAAAUCAUGGGAAAAGUCAGUUCAAAUUUGUUUUUACAAAUGAUCAAAGAGGCCAUCAAAGAAUGGCUUCUCUGAUGAAUAAAAGCAUACAAGUCUUUCAAAAAUGCAUACACACAAUACCAUAUGUCAAAUACCAAAAUGGCUAAUAAACAACUAAAACAAAAAUAAAAAUCACAUGCGCAUUGAACGAGCCAAUUGUAACAAAAAUGUAAACAGCAAGGGACUUACUCUACGCGCUAUUGCAUUUCUGCGUAGUCGUCGUUCUUCUUGUUCUUCGUCUUCAUCAUCCUACAAAUCAAGAGAAAAUUAGGGUUAGACACCUACUCUGAUGAAUAAAAUAUUCGUUUUGAAUAUAUAUUUUCGCUGCGAUGGGGACACCGCGGGAAGCUCAAAUGGCUUUUUUCUAGGCUGGUGUGGCAACCAAUUGUGGUAGGUGCAUUGUUGUAGUUGUAUAAUUCACAAGGGAGAAAACACGGGAACCUUUAGGACUUGUUCCUCCAACGAUUACUUCCCAAUUGUAACAGCAACAUGAGGGAAUUAACUCUCUCGCUUUUCGAUUCCUCACCCAUGGCUCACUUUGUACAACCUAUAAAUCAUGGGAAAAGUCAGUUCAAAUUUGUUUUUACAAAUGAUCAAAGAAGCCAUCAAAGAAUGGCUUCUCUGAUGAAUAAAAGCAUACAAGUCUUUCAAAAAUGCAUACACACAAUACCAUAUGUCAAAUACCAAAAUGGAUAAUAGACAACUAAAACAAAAAUAAAAAUCACAUGCGCAUUGAACGAGCCAAUUGUAACAAAAAUGUAAACAGCAAAAUGCAGGGACUUACUCUACGCGAGGUUGCAUUUUUUUGCAGCCUUCUUUCUUCUGCUUCUUCUUCGUCAUAAUCAUCAUCCUACAAAUCAAGAGAAAAUUAGGGUUAGACACCUACUCUGAUGAAUAAAAUAUUCGUUUUGAAUAUAUAUUUUCGCUGCGAGGGGGACACCGCGGGAAGCUCAAAUGGCUUUUUUUCUAGGCUGGCGUGGCAACCAAUUGUGGUAGGUGCAUUGUUGUAGUUGUAUAAUUCACAAGGGAGAAAACACGGGAACCUUUAGGACUUGUUCCUCCAACGAUUACUUCCCAAUUGUAACAGCAACAUGAGGGAAUUAA